rnacentral:rRNA from 1 species
ACGCACGCUGGCGGCAUGCCUAACACAUGCAAGUCGAACGAGACCUUCGGGUCUAGUGGCGCACGGGUGCGUAACGCGUGGGAACCUGCCCCUAGGUUCGGAAUAACUCCCCGAAAGGGGUGCUAAUACCGGAUAAUGUCUUCGGACCAAAGAUUUAUCGCCUUUGGAUGGGCCCGCGUUGGAUUAGCUAGUUGGUAGGGUAAAAGCCUACCAAGGCGACGAUCCAUAGCUGGUCUGAGAGGAUGAUCAGCCACACUGGGACUGAGACACGGCCCAGACUCCUACGGGAGGCAGCAGUGGGGAAUAUUGGACAAUGGGCGAAAGCCUGAUCCAGCAAUGCCGCGUGAGUGAUGAAGGCCUUAGGGUUGUAAAGCUCUUUUACCCGGGAUGAUAAUGACAGUACCGGGAGAAUAAGCUCCGGCUAACUCCGUG